GGGCUUGUGGCCUAAUGGUUAAGGCGCCAGAUUUCGGUUCUUAGCACUGACCCCUCUGGAGAUUGUCGGUUCGACUCCGGUCAAGCUCG
rnacentral:tRNA from 1 species